rnacentral:RNase_P_RNA from 1 species
GACAGAGGGAGCCCGACUCCCGUGCACACGCAUGAGGAAAGUCCCCCCACCGGCCGGACGGGCGACCGGGCACACGCCCGGAGUCGGAGACGGCUGGCUCUGGAACAGCAACGACACCCCCCGCCCCGACCGAUGAGGUGCGCGCGGCCGCCGUCGGCGGCCGCCGGCGUUCACGGGUUCGCCCGCGAACGCGCGAACCGACCCGCAAGGGAAGGGAGUUAACCCACCGAGGGCGCGUGGCGACCGACGCCACGCCCGGGCCGCGCGGCACCGCCGCGCGGGCGACGGGCGGGAACGGAUGGAACGGCGAAUCCUCGCCGGUGCAAGUCCGUGCCAUCAGGUAGUCCGGCCACGGCACGGACGCUUAGCCGAAUGUCGGGAUGAACCGAAGGGGGCUUACUCCCCUCAGUC